rnacentral:rRNA from 1 species
UACGUAGGGGGCAAGCGUUGUCCGGAAUCAUUGGGCGUAAAGCGCGUGUAGGCGGCUCGAUAAGUCUGCUGUGAAAGUUCAGGGCUCAACCCUGAAAUGCCGGUGGAAACUGUCGAGCUAGAGUCCGGAAGAGGCGAGUGGAAUUCCUGGUGUAGCGGUGAAAUGCGCAGAUAUCAGGAGGAACACCGGUGGCGAAGGCGGUUCUCUGGGCCUUACCUGACGCUGAGGAGCGAAAGCGUGGGGAGCAAACAGG